GUAUUUAAAGAAUGUUUCCUUUGAUGUGUGUUGAGAGUUGCUUCUCAUUUCCUG
ensembl:misc_RNA